UGGUGUCUUGUGCGGAUGCGGAGUGUGCAAAGCCCUGGGAAAAGGCGGCCCCUGGAGCCAGGGAGCUGAUGGCAGCACUUUGUCACCGUAUUUACACUUCCACUGGCCCAACGUGAAGCGUUUGGCUCUCCUCCACUUGCGGAAGGGAUUAGCUACUUCAUAACAUCCAGACAAGAUAAUCUCUCCAAUUUUGCCUGGAAGAAGUCCCUGACAAAGAGCAGCAAAGCUACAAUAAUGCCAGAUGAAACAAGCAACAAAACACUGUCCCUGGGUUGAGUCAGACCAGCAGAGUUACAUCUGUGGUGAACCUCAGCGGCACAAGGAGGUGAAGCCACAUCUGGGCAGCAGACAGAGCAGUCCACAGAGCGCUGCUCCUCACCGGGGACUUCCGAAACCCACCGGCCGAUCAAUCUCCACAACUCGCUGAAUGAUAGA